rnacentral:rRNA from 1 species
GACGAACGCUGGCGGCGUGCUUAACACAUGCAAGUCGAACGGAAAGGCCCUGCUUGCAGGGUACUCGAUUUGCGAACGGUUGUGUAACACGUGUGUGUUCUGCCCUGCUCUUCGGGUUAUGCCUGUUAAACUGGGUCUUAUUCCUGCUAGUAGCCAUUUUUAGUGUUAUUGUUGGUAAGUUUUUUCGGUUUAGGAUGUGCUCGCGUCCUAUCAGCUUGUUGGUGGGGUAAUUGCCUACCAAGGCGGCUACGGGUAGCCGGCCUGAGAGGGUGGACGGCCAAAUGGGGAAUGAGAGACGGCCCAGACUCCAACGGGAGGAAGCAGUGGGGAAGAGUGCAGAAGGGGCGGAAGCCUGAUGAAGAGAAGCCGCGUGGGGGAUGAAGGCCGUCGGGUUGUAAACGCCUUUCGCAAGGGACGAAGCGUUUGUGACGGUACCUAGAGAAGAAGCACCGGCUAACUACGUG